rnacentral:tRNA from 1 species
GCGUGUUUAGCUCAGCUGGAUAGAGCAACGCCCUUCUAAGGCGUGGGCCAGGAGUUCUAAUCUCUUAACACGCACCA